rfam:TPA: Bos taurus chromosome X, whole genome shotgun sequence.
UCCCUGGUGGCUCAGAGAUUAAAGCGUCUGCCUGCAAUGCAGGAGACCUGGGUUCUAUCCCUGGGUCGGGAA